rnacentral:rRNA from 1 species
CGGGAAACCGGAGCUAAUACUGGAUACGAGACGUAAAGGCAUCUUUAGCGUCUGGAAAGAAUUUCGGUCUUGGAUCGGCUCACGGCCUAUCAGCUUGUUGGUGAGGUAAUGGCUCACCAAGGCGACGACGGGUAGCCGGCCUGAGAGGGUGACCGGCCACACUGGGACUGAGACACGGCCCAG